rnacentral:rRNA from 1 species
UAGCGGCAGGCUUAAUACAUGCAAGUCGAGGGGCAGCAUGGUGUAGCAAUACACUGAUGGCGACCGGCAAACGGGUGCGGAACACGUACAGAACCUUCCUUCGAGCGGGGAAUAGCCCAGAGAAAUUUGGAUUAAUACCCCAUAGUACAUUGAGGCGGCAUCGUUUUAAUGUUAAAGAUUUAUCACUUGAAGAUGGCUGUGCGGCUGAUUAGGUAGUUGGCGGGGUAACGGCCCACCAAGCCUGCGAUCAGUAACUGGUGUGAGAGCACGACCAGUCACACGGGCACUGAGACACGGGCCCGACUCCUACGGGAGGCAGCAGUAAGGAAUAUUGGUCAAUGGCGAAAGUCUGAACCAGCCAUGCCGCGUGGAGGAUGAAGGUCCUCUGGAUUGUAAC